CACGACAGAUCAAAGCGAACCCUAGAACUGCUGGGCCACAGAAGUGGCCUACGACAUUGAGGGUGUUUCAUUUUAAUUCAAAACAUGAAUUAGUUCAAUUUGGCAACUUGCACAUUCAUUCUGCGACUCUGUAACUGACAUGCUGCUCUGCAAUGAACAGUGGUGACUUACUGUUUGUUUCAAAGGCAUGUUUUUGCUUCUUUGGGAGACGUGCUUGGUUUGUUUUGUUCAAUUUUUAAUGAUACAUGAUUUUAUUUUAAAUUUCUUUGCAAAGUGCUUUGUAUCCUAGGGUUUCCAGCUUUCUCUGAAUUGAGAGGAGGUUAUUACCUUCUAAGUUUUCAAUUAGGAAAACAAAACAAGUUUGGAAGCUC
rnacentral:lncRNA from 1 species